AGGCUGUUAGCAUAGUGGUGAUGCGGGUUUUUUGAAAAUUCUUGACAGGGGUUCAAAUCUCUUGACAUAGA
rnacentral:tRNA from 1 species